ensembl:lncRNA
UUUAUGCUCACAAAGCCUGCAUUUAUUUGAUUAUAAAAAAUACAGUAAAAACUGUAAAAUUGUGAUAUAUUAUUACAAAUUAAAAUUACUGGUUUCUAUUUAACUAUAUUUUAAAAUGUAAUUUAUUUCUGUGAUCAAAGCUGUAUUUUCAGCAUCAUUACUCCAGUCUUCAGUGUCACAUGAUCUUCAGAAAUCAUUCUAAUAUGAUGAUUUGCUGCUCAAGAAACAUUGAUUAUUAUCAAUGUUGAAAACAGUUGUGCUGCCGAAUAUUAUGGAACCUGUGAUAUACUUCUUUGGUUUAACAAAUAAUAUUUAUUUCAAUUAAAUAUUGUUGCUCUGAACUUUCUAUUCAUGAAAGAAUCCUAAAAAAUAAAACUGAUCACAUUUCCCACUAAAAUAUGAUGAGGCACAACUGUGUUCAACAUUGCUAAUAAUCAAUGUUUCUUGAGCAGCAAAUCAUCAUCGACAUCUAAGGAUAUUUCACAUUAGAUUAGCAAGCAAUGACCCUAAUGAAAUGUCUUCUAACAUAAACACCCACACAUCCUCUCAAACGUGGGCUCACUUGCUGAGUUUCACACUGCAGGACUCUCACACUCUGCAGUAAAACAACCGCUUAAGAGAAGGCCUUGUUCCAGUUGCACUUCUUUUGUCAUGCUAAAGGUAACCUUUUAAAGUGC